rnacentral:misc_RNA from 1 species
GCAUAUUUCCUCUACUUCAGGUGUUGUUUCAUAUUUCACUUUUCCAUAUCUAUUUGCCAAUAUAGUUGUAUGAGUUUUCCUUUUUACCUUUGAAAAGUGAAAUAAUCAAUUUGUCUGGCCUCUUUGUGGAAGUGCUGGUUAAAUUUUACAAAUCUUUUGCCCCAUGUAAUGUGACAACACGUGUGUGGGUACUAAAAGAUAUCUGAAACUUUUAUCUUAAUCCAUAUGCAUUUAUGGAUUGAUUUCUUAAGAAAUGCUUUAUUAAGCCCUAAUAUCUCUGUUAUUCUUCCUUUCAUCUUUGCAGACUGUUAUUUUCCAUAUAGAAUCAAGUAUCUGGUAUGAGAAGCAGUUGGAUAUUAUUUAAGGAUUUAAACUCAUUAUCUUGAUACAGAAAACUCAAUAAAUGGUUUUAAGUUUUCUUUUUUUGCUCAAAAAAAUAAUUUAAAUUCUUUCAGUUUACUGCUAACUGAUUGUGAAGUGCUUUGGAAACUAGACUGUUGUACUGAUUUAUGAAUUUACUUGUGCAAGCAUUUAUGCUGUAGCAAUAAAAGGAAGAAACUUUAGAUGCUUGAUGUCCUCAGUAAAUAUUGGUUUUCCUUGCUGUGGUCUAUAUGGCACCAUGACUACAAUGACAAAAUUUGCAGAUAUAUGCUGGUUCUUUCUUU